AACGAACGCUGGCGGCAGGCUUAACACAUGCAAGUCGAACGCCCCGCAAGGGGAGUGGCAGACGGGUGAGUAACGCGUGGGAACGUGCCCUUCGCUUCGGAAUAGCCUCUGGAAACUGGGAGUAAUACCGACUACGCCGUAUUGGGAAAGAUUUAUCGGCGAAGGAGCGGCCCGCGUUAGAUUAGCUAGUUGGCGGUGUAAUGGACCACCAAGGCUACGAUCUAUAGCUGGUCUGAGAGGAUGAUCAGCCACACUGGGACUGAGACACGGCCCAGACUCCUACGGGAGGCAGCAGUGGGGAAUCUUGGACAAUGGGCGCAAGCCUGAUCCAGCCAUGCCGCGUGAGUGAUGAAGGCCUUAGGGUUGUAAAGCUCUUUCACCGAUGAAGAUAAUGACGGUAGUCGGAGAAGAAGCCCCGGCUAACUUCGUGCCAGCCGCCGCUGUAAAAC
rnacentral:rRNA from 1 species